CAAAGUGCUGGGAUUACAGGUGUGAGCCACCGUGCCCGGCCAGAAAGUUUGUUCUUAAUUCACUGUAAAUGGCAUUUCUAAGGUUUUUAAUAGGCUUCCUGGAGUGUGGGUAUGAUAUCCCGAUCCAUCACUGACUAAGAAAUAAAAAUUAAAUGGGAUAAUAUAUGUAAAUCACAGCUGAGUGCCUUGGCUCAUAGUAGCCUCUUCUCUUCCAUCAUAGUAGCUCUUGACAAAUGUAAGUUACUCUCUCUUAUUUCUACCGUUAUUGUACUUCAGUUUUCCUUGAACUUUGAAGAGCUGUUAAUUUUGUGAAAGAAUUAGUUUUAUUUAGGUAUAGAAGAGAGGAGGCUGAUGGGGAAGAACUGUUUUCUGGCACACGUUCUGCUGGGCCUUUGUUUUGGGGCAUCUUUGAGGACAGAGUGAGAGCGACCCGCAGUGGAAGGGAUUUCUAAAUACAAGGGUUGAAAGAGUAUACCGUUUUUUUCUUUCUUUUUUGAGACAAGGUCUUGCUGUGUUGCCUAGGCUGAAGUGCAGUGGCGUGAUCUUGGCUCCCUGCAACCUCCACCUUCCGGGUUCAAGCAGUUCUCAUGCCUCAGCCUCCCAAAUAGCUGGGAUUACAGGUGUGCGCCACCAUGCCCUGCUAAUUUUGUAUUUUUAGUAGAGAUGGGGUUUCUCCAUGUUGGUCAGGCUGGUCUCAAACUCCUGGCCUCAAGUGAUCCACCCACUUUGGCUUCCCAAAGUGCUGGGAUAUAGGCAAACGGCCACUGUGCCUGGCGUAUACUGUCUCUUAACCAUUAGGUAAGUGCUGGUCUUUUUUCCCCCUGGCAUGUUUUUGGAAGAGAGUGAAUAGGUCUUUUAGGCCUGUGUAGAGACAAUGAUGCUGUCAUUGUUAACAUUUUCUGAAUCAUUCUGAAAUUUUGAGUAGAAUGUAUGGCAGUAUAGGAAUCUGGAUGUCGAAGGAUUGAUGAAAACUUUCUAAAUACAUUCAGGCAACAUGAGAUCUUUUUAUCGGCAAUUGUGCAAGUAAAAAUACUGUGAUACAUAAUUUGUAAUAGAGCAGGUAAACUUAGGAAUAAAAGCUUUAGAACUGCAACAACUGUAUAUGAGCAUAUUCAGUUUUGGUUUAGGUUGGUGCCCUCCAAUAGAGCUUUUAGCAAUGACAGAUGUUUUUUAUGCAUUGUCCAGUAUGGUGGCCACUAGCUCUGAAUGGCUAUUGUGCAAUUAAAACAUAGCUUAUCUUACCAAGGGAUUGAAUUUUAAAUAUUCAAUUCUAAAUAAUUAAAGGUUAAAUUUAAAUAGCUCUGUGUACCCAGUGAUUACUAUAUCGGAUGGUGCAGGUCUCAGUUCUUUCCACCAUUUUUUCCCCACCAUAUUUUAUAUCUUUACAUAGGUGAGACAAAUGGACUUAGGUCAAAAGGUUUACAACUGGAGAACCAAGUUGGAAGCAAAGAGGUUUUUUUGCAAAGAGGAAUCUCUUGCAAACAAACCUGGAACUUGGCUUAGUGAGUCAGUUUUUCUGACAUGUAAGUAUGGCUCUUUCAGAGCACUAGCACUGGGGCUGUGCUCCCCUGGAGAGGAAGAGCCUUAAGGAAGGAAGGAAGGAACUCUUGAGUCUGUUAAGUAAACUGAGUGUGUUGACAGUUUGAACACAC
rnacentral:lncRNA from 1 species